UAUUCCUUUAAACCUGUCCCGUGAGGCAGGCAAGGAGCGCGAUAAAGUAGAAGGGUGAAGUCUAUACUGUGUGCAGUAGGGCUCGCUUGGCUAUAAAUUUCAAGUCUCCUUGUUUAAGGAGACUUUUCUUUUU
rfam:Streptococcus pneumoniae 2070335 gspj15.contig.7, whole genome shotgun sequence.